rnacentral:rRNA from 1 species
UGAGUAACGCGUAUCCAACCCUCCCAUAGUAGAGGAUAGGCCCGGCGAAAGUCGGAUUAAUACUCUAUGUUGUAUUUUUGAGGACAUCUGACGAAUACCAAAGAUUGAUCGCUAUGGGAUGGGGAUGCGUCUGAUUAGGUUGUUGGCGGGGUAACGGCCCACCAAGCCGACGAUCAGUAGGGGUUCUGAGAGGAAGGUCCCCCACAUUGGUACUGAGACACGGACCAAACUCCUACGGGAGGCAGCAGUGAGGAAUAUUGGUCAAUGGACGAGAGUCUGAACCAGCCAAGUAGCGUGCAGGACGACUGCCCUAUGGGUUGUAAACUGCUUUUAUAGGGGAAUAAAGUCCACUACGUGUAGUGGUUUGUAUGUACCCUAUGAAUAAGGACCGGCUAAUUCCGUGCCAGCCGCUGC